ACUUAAAUAUCAAUAUAAGUUCAUCUUUAUACUAUAGUCUCUUUCUAUCAUCGGCAUUAAAUUUGGUCUUUUAAUCGAGGGUUCCUUAGCACUGAAAGUGUGGGGUAAUUAACAGCAGAUUCUUAAAUCUGCUGGAAACCAUUAAUCUAUAAUUCUGAUUUUAAAAUAAAAUUUAAAUAGAUUUUAUCUCUACCAUUAAUGAUCACUUGCUGGAGAAAAGCCUACGGUGGGGCCGAUUCGUUCGUGGCGGCAGACACUAAUCAAUCUCCCUCUCUCAACUUCUUAAAAUCAUCUUCUAAUUUCUCCUUUACACUGUCUGAAAAAUAUGCCCCAUAUAACGUUCCCUAGAACUCCUCCCAGGUAACUGAAU
rnacentral:lncRNA from 1 species